rnacentral:rRNA from 1 species
GGGGGUGCCUAUUACAUGCAGUCGAACGCUUCUUUUUCCACCGGAGCUUGCUCCACCGGAAAAAGAGGAGUGGCGAACGGGUGAGUAACACGUGGGUAACCUGCCCAUCAGAAGGGGAUAACACUUGGAAACAGGUGCUAAUACCGUAUAACAAUCAAAACCGCAUGGUUUUGAUUUGAAAGGCGCUUUCGGGUGUCGCUGAUGGAUGGACCCGCGGUGCAUUAGCUAGUUGGUGAGGUAACGGCUCACCAAGGCCACGAUGCAUAGCCGACCUGAGAGGGUGAUCGGCCACAUUGGGACUGAGACACGGCCCAAACUCCUACGGGAGGCAGCAGUAGGGAAUCUUCGGCAAUGGACGAAAGUCUGACCGAGCAACGCCGCGUGAGUGAAGAAGGUUUUCGGAUCGUAAAACUCUGUUGUUAGAGAAGAACAAGGAUGAGAGUAACUGUUCAUCCCUUGACGGUAUCUAACCAGAAAGCCACGGCUAACUACGUGCCAGCAGCCGCGGUAAUACGUAGGUGGCAAGCGUUGUCCGGAUUUAUUGGGCGUAAAGCGAGCGCAGGCGGUUUCUUAAGUCUGAUGUGAAAGCCCCCGGCUCAACCGGGGAGGGUCAUUGGAAACUGGGAGACUUGAGUGCAGAAGAGGAGAGUGGAAUUCCAUGUGUAGCGGUGAAAUGCGUAGAUAUAUGGAGGAACACCAGUGGUGAAGGCGGCUCUCUGGUCUGUAACUGACGCUGAGGCUCGAAAGCGUGGGGAGCAAACAGGAUUAGAUACCCUGGUAGUCCACGCCGUAAACGAUGAGUGCUAAGUGUUGGAGGGUUUCCGCCCUUCAGUGCUGCAGCUAACGCAUUAAGCACUCCGCCUGGGGAGUACGACCGCAAGGUUGAAACUCAAGGAAUUGACGGGGCCCGCACAAGCGGUGGAGCAUGUGGUUUAAUUCGAAGCAACGCGAGAACCUUACCAGUCUUGACAUCCUUUGACCACUCUAGAGAUAGAGCUUCCCCUUCGGGGGCAAGUGACAGGUGGUGCAUGAUGUCGUCAGCUCGUGUCGUGAGAUGUUGGGUUAAGUCCCGCACGAGCGCCAACCCUUAUUGUUAGUUGCCAUCAUUC